GAGUGAGGGUCUCCGGGCCCGACCUCCAACCCUUUGUCGUUACAAAAAAAAACCUUUGUUGCUUUGGCGGGACCGCCGGCCCUUCGGGGCAGGCUGCCGGUCUUCGGCCCGGCAUGCGCCCGCCAGAGGUAAACCAAACUCUUGUUAUCAAACCGUACGUCUGAGUAAAAAUGAUUUAAUCAAUCAAAACUUUCAACAACGGAUCUCUUGGUUCU
rnacentral:misc_RNA from 1 species